rnacentral:rRNA from 1 species
CCAAUAGCGUAUAUUAAAGUUGUUGCAGUUAAAAAGCUCGUAGUUGAAUUUCGGGACCAAUAUGUCGGUCGUACUUUGUACGUACUAGCAUCAUUGGUUUCUCCCUUCUGAAGAACCACGAUGUCAUUAAUUUGGUGUCGUGGGGAAUCAGGACUGUUACUUUGAAAAAAUUAGAGUGUUUAAAGCAGGCUCGCGCUUGAAUACAUUAGCAUGGAAUAAU